rnacentral:rRNA from 1 species
CCUACGGGGGGCAGCAGUGAGGAAUAUUGGUCAAUGGGCGCGAGCCUGAACCAGCCAAGUAGCGUGAAGGAUGACUGCCCUACGGGUUGUAAACUUCUUUUAUAAAGGAAUAAAGUGAGGCACGUGUGCCUUUUUGUAUGUACUUUAUGAAUAAGGAUCGGCUAACUCCGUGCCAGCAGCCGCGGUAAUACGGAGGAUCCGAGCGUUAUCCGGAUUUAUUGGGUUUAAAGGGAGCGUAGAUGGGUUGUUAAGUCAGUUGUGAAAGUUUGCGGCUCAACCGGAAAAUUGCAAUUGAUACUGGCAGGCUUGAGUACAGUUGAGGUAGGCGGAAUUCGUGGUGUAGCGGUGGAAUGCUUAGAUAUCACGAAGAACUCCGAUUGCGAAGGCAGAUUACUAAACUGCCACUGACAUUGAUGCUCGAAAGUGUGGGUAGCAAACAGGAUUAGAUACCCUUGUAGUC